GACGAACGCUGGCGGCGCGCUUAACACAUGCCAGUCGAGCGGUAAGGCUCCUUCGGGAGUACACGAGCGGCGCACGGGUGAGUAACACGUGAGUAAUCUGCCCUUCACUUCGGGAUAACCACCGGAAACGGUGGCUAAUACCGAAUACGACCAGUCUUCGCAUGAGGUGCUGGUGGAAAGUCUUUUCGGUGAAGGAUGUGCUCGCGGCCUAUCAGCUUGUUGGUGGGGUAAUGGCCUACCAAGGCUUCGACGGGUAGCCGGCCUGAGAGGGUGACCGGCCACACUGGGACUGAGACACGGCCCAGACUCCUACGGGAGGCAGCAGUGGGGAAUAUUGGACAAUGGGCGAAAGCCUGAUCCAGCAACGCCGCGUGAGGGAUGACGGCCUUCGGGUUGUAAACCUCUUUCAGUACCGACGAAGCGCCCUGUCGGGUGGUGACGGUAGGUACAGAAGAAGGACCGGCCAACUACGUG
rnacentral:rRNA from 1 species